rnacentral:lncRNA from 1 species
GUCUGCUCUGAAUUCUGGUAUGUGCUCUGUAGGUUGGAGAAGUUUUUCAGCAUGAGCAGCACUCCAGACCCUAAGGUUAGUUGAACUGGUUUUCUUGACAGGGUGUUGUCCAUCUCCUCCUACAUGAGCUGGGGUGCAUGCUGCAUUUGGUAUCACAAGUGAUGGGAUUACAUAAUCUAUGCGCAACCACCAGGGAUGUGGUUUCUGAGGUUGCUGGAGACGGCUGGGACACACUUCUUGGGAUCUGCUUCCAGUGCUCAUUAUACUCUGAGUAUCAUAGUGUAGAUAUUGUCCUGGAAGGCAAAAAUGUAGAAGUAUUCAGUAUUCGUCUUUUCUUUUUUAAACCUUGUUGCUUUUGUGUUUUGGAAAUACUAUAAUUCAGCUACUUCUUUCUUUUGUCUUUCCAUGAUUUUAUGUCAGAACGGUGUUCCUGCCUUGUCAGUAAGGAAGAGGGGAAGUGGAACACUGGGGCUAGGUCUGUUUGUCUAGAUACUGAUGGUUAGGGCUGCUGGAGAUAGAAUGCCACAUCCCAUCAGACACUGGAAGUUAAAAAAGACAUUGAGUGUAGUAUGGAAACUGAAUACACAUGGGUAGACCCUUGCCCCUCUUUUUC